GGGGUUGUGGCUCAGUGAUAGAGUACUUGCCUAGCAAGUGUGAAGCAUUGGGUUUGAUUCUCACAGCACCA
rnacentral:tRNA from 1 species